UACGUAGGGUGCGAGCGUUAAUCGGAAUUACUGGGCGUAAAGCGUGCGCAGGCGGUUCGUUAUGUCCGAUGUGAAAGCCCCGAGCUCAACUUGGGAAUGGCAUUGGAAACUGGCGGGCUGGAGUGUGGCAGAGGGGGGUGGAAUUCCACGUGUAGCAGUGAAAUGCGUAGAGAUGUGGAGGAACACCGAUGGCGAAGGCAGCCCCCUGGGCCAACACUGACGCUGAGAAGCGAAAGCGUGGGGAGCGAACAGG
rnacentral:rRNA from 1 species